CAGCAGACACAUUCCAGCCAAUCAGCAGCAGACCCUCCCUCCCAGAUCCCCCCACCUCCUGGACAGCAUCCAUUUUACAUUCAUUGUGAAGCUGCAUUCUUAGUGAGCUGUCCAGGAGGUGGGAGGGUCUGGGAGGGAGGGUCUGCUGCUGAUUGGCUGGAAUGUGUCUGCUG